GCACGCCUAUGCCCGAACAUCUGCUGCAUCGCCCCAUGGCUUCGCCUCGCUCGCCACCGGCGGCAGGCCACCCCGCCGCCCGACUCGCCACGCACCGGAGGCGACCGGUGGCAGGUCGAUCUUCCCCCCCCCCCCCCCCCCCCCCCCCCCCCCGGCCGCGCGCCGCCAUCUAGCACCACCAUCGUCGCCGCUCCUCGAUGGUUGGAGCUCCCUUCCCACAGCCCGAUCUAGAUGCCCCUCCUGUCAUAUCUGAGCACGACGCUCUGCCCGUCCACAAUCAGCCUCCUCAAUCUCCAACCUGUUCUACAUCCCCUCUCCACCCGUCCACAAUCAGCCUCCUCAAUCUCCAACCUCCUGCAGCCGUCCUUCUCUGAUUUGGAUCAAAGUAGAGCCAUCGAUGGAGGCAGGGGAGCAGCAGAUGGAGCAAAAGAAAUAAAGAAUCAGUUGCUCCCGCUGCUACCUCCCAGUCGCGUCCCACCCCGUUAGGAACGCUGCCCGGCUCCCCUGCUCCUAUCGCCCCACCUUUUCCUAGCCAAUAAUCAAGGGGUGCAGUAGAGGAGCACCGGUGUAGAAUGCAUCUGCAGUGGUGCGGGUUGGGGACCGAGUGACGGAUUCAGGUCAAGGGGGUUUUCGGCUAGCGUAGAAGCAGGCUGCAUAAGAAUGCAAUAAUUUGAUUAAGCAAGACAGGCGUCUGGGAAACAAGCACGGUGAUGGCUUGCUCAACUAGAAGUUCUACAAUAAAUGGAUGGCUAUUUUCUCCUGGAAUGCAGAUGGAUGUCUGAUUGAGGAGAUGAAUCAUGCAUCCUGCUAUGAUAUGACAGAGCAGUACCGUGAGUACAUAGGGAAGCAGCUCAACAACCGGCAUACUACAAUUUCAAUUUCUACAAUGCAGAUGAAUGCUAUGCAUUUUCCGGUGUAUGAGUUCUUUGUGAUUUCCUCCCAUAUUUUUGAUCCAGACUUUCAUGAUACACACACAUACUAUAAACUUUAGUACUACUAAUUGCUAGCUUUAUUUGGUCAUAUCUGAUUCUCUGUUGUUAAUCCUCUCCUACAUUGCCAAGCUCAGUUUGAUUAUAUGUGGAGGUGUGUUUUAUUCUCUGAUGAUAUUUCCAUAUUUUUGAAUAUAUGGCAAGCACAACUCUUGGUGUUAGCGCUUAUUCCUUUUAUUUUAGAUGGUUUACUACGGUACUUGAGAGUCAUUUAUUGAUUUAUUUUGGAUGUUGAAUUGUACCAUGCUCCAGGAAGUUGAUAUCUGACUGUCGAGUUUGUGCCUAAUUUAGAUUGACCAUGGUAUGGACCAAUCCAAGCUCCGUCAGGAUGUAGACAGUGUCCGUAAAUUCCUUCUGGACCAGUACAUCAAUAAAAAAACAUGUCAAUGUACAACACUCCUACAUUAACCAUUCUCAACAAAGUCAUGCCUGUAUUAUGAGAAAUCAGACCAACGUUGGUGGGCAAGAAGUUUCAGUUUUCUUUUAUAAUUUUAUUGAUGAUUGAUUAGUUAUUGGUUAUGCUCUCGAAGAAGUUGCCGAUGGAGAUAGCUGGGGUGUCAUCGUCCUUGCUUGAUCUGGGCAUAUGUGCUGGCACUUACAGAUUCCAUCGCGUAGAGAAAUGGCACUGCUUGUCUGCUACCUAUGACUCGUUUAUGUGCUGGCCAACUUUCAUUUUCAUGCCAAGCAGGGUUGAUUAUCAGAGGGCUAGGAAAGAUGGAGCAUGAGCGGGAGCAUCGACUACGAUGAGUUCAUCAGGGCGACAGUGUACAUCAACAAGCUGUAGCAGGAGGAGCACCUGCCGGCUGCCUUUGUCUACGUCGACAAGGACGACAGCAGGUGCAUCACCGUAGAAAAGGUGGAAGAGGCUUGCCAAGAGUACAACAUACAUGCUGUAUCAACACAUCAUCAGGGACGUCAACAAUGGCAAUAUGCGUUUAGAACCAAGCAUGAAGGUUAAUCCAAAUAUGCGGGGAAGAAUACAAAUGCGGAAAUGCAUAGUCGCGGAAGAUGACCAUACAGAGACAAUAUUAUGCAUGAAGAUGAAAGGCGCCAAGGAUGCACAAUGGCGGGUGCGGGAAGGCAUCAGAAGAGCUCGGGUAGAUAGCCGUGAGCGAGGUGCGUCUCGACACAAAAGGGCAAGGUGAUGAUGCUAGAAGGAGCCGGAAUAGUGCGAAGGUCUGCCAACCGAACGCAUGGUGCAGGACUGGAGGUGGACGCUAUUUCAACUCAGGUCCUACUUAAACUAAAUAUCAUUUUACAUGGCCAUUGGUGUUUUUCCCGUUGCAACGCACGGGUCCUUUUCCUAGUUUACAUUAACUGCUACAGUCCCACGCCCCUACGCCUAGCGGUAAUCACGCGAAGUGGACGUUGGAUUGACUGGUCAUCAUGACGAACCGCCGUGCACGCAGCCUUCUCCUGCCACGUGUCCGUGCACUGUUUGGGGCCUAACCCAACGUGCCCCGUGACACGUAUGGCUCAGGCCCGGGAGCUUAUGUCGGGGAACACAAACUAGGGUGUGUGUUUUCCCCUGUCUCGUGCACUGGCAGUAAGCCAAUAAGCACAAGAACAAGAUCACAGCACCAAGGUCAGAUUGAAGCACAAGGGAUCAGUUCUUCGAAGGACCAACAUGCAGAUCAAGAGGACCAAGACUAGCCGGAGAAGCAAGAUAUCGCUAAGGGAAAAACCUGCCUUCCCGGGUAGGCGAGCCUGGUGAAGACGGUGUUAUCCCCGGAAGCAAGCUUUCGGAUCAUCUCGGCAGGCCUGCCGGGGCUUACGGAGGCAAAACACUCCACCGCACCACCUCAUCAUGACGCACGUCGUCGAUCAGUGCGGUGUCAAGCUCCAAGGUGACUAAGUGGCUACUAUUUGCCACAUGGCAGCCACUUCCUACAGAAAAUACCUCCAAGCGACACCCGUCCUGAGACGUGUCAAUCAAGCAGGCGCGAAGCUAGCAAAACAGCCCGGCAGGGCCUGCCGGGCAAGCUGUGAUGUGACAUUGAGUAGCACAUUUAAUGCGCUCUGUCAGCUUGCAGAGUUAGGUAUGAUAGCACUGUUUGCCAUCUAAUCAGUGUGUAAUGACUGAUUUGCCACUGUGGUGACCUUUUGGUCUAUAAAAGGGGGCCCAAAGCAACCGAAGAAAGGGUUAGCUAAUUCAGACCCUCACACACUUGUACGCGCGUAGCCGUUCUCGCCACGAGGCAACCCAGCCAGGCAAACGUGCUGCGCUCAACACCAUGUUUCCACCAUCAAUCCACCAAAACAGGAGUAUGGUUUUACGCCUCACGGCGGCCCGAACCUGGGUAAUAACUACCCGUGUGAUCUCUGACGUGCUGUUCCACACUCCUCCGCUCUUUCUGCAACGUGCUAUCCCCCCGCCGAACCAGAAAGGGGCUCUUGGUCCCAUAGGUGGUCGUGGUUUCCCACGACAUACCCCCUUGCCAAACUCAUGGCAAGGUACACAAUAGGUCUGGUACACAGCAUGGCAUACUUUAUAGAACCUAUGACUGAGGCUAGGGAAUGACUUUCCUUCCGUAUCUAUCUUAUGCCGUGGUUGGGAUUUGAGUCUUACUCAACUUCACACCUUACA